rnacentral:rRNA from 1 species
GGUCUUUUGUUUAUAUAAAAGAUCUAACCUGCCCUAUGAUUUAUAUUAAAUGGCUGCAGUAUUUUGACUGUGCAAAGGUAGCAUAAUCAUUUGUCUUUUAAUUGGAGGCUGGUAUGAAUGGUUUGAUGAAAAAUAUACUUUCUUUAUUUUUAUAUAGAAAACUUAAUUUUUUAGUCAAAAGGCUAAGAUAUUUUUAUAGGACGAGAAGACCCUAUAGAGCUUUAUUUUCCUUUUAUAUAAAUUUUCUGGAUUUUUAUAGAAUUAUAUAUUUAUGUUAAUUAUGUUGGGGUGACAGAAAAAAUUAUAUAACUUUUUUUAUUUUUUUCAUUUAUUAAUGUUUUUUGAUCCUUAAUUUGGAUAAAAAGAUUAAGCUACCUUAGGGAUAACAGCGUUAUUUUCUUUGAAAGUUCUUAUUGAUAAGGAAGUUUGCGACCUCGAUGUUGGAUUAAAAUAAGUGGCAGGGGUAUAUUUUUGUUUACUGGGUCUGUUCGACCUUUAAA